UGGACAGAUUAUUGUAUUCGAUUGUAUUCACAGCGUGAAAUAGGGGAUUACACUAUUUUUAAAACGGAAAGUGAAUCAAUUAACAUAAUAGACUCCU
rnacentral:pre_miRNA from 1 species